GUCGGGGUGGCCGAGCGGUCUAAGGCGCGAGACUCAAGAGUGAUCAUCUGAGUGUACUGAUCCACGAUGUGGGGCGUGGGUUCAAGUCCCACCUCUGACA
rnacentral:tRNA from 1 species